rnacentral:rRNA from 1 species
UACGGGGGGAGCAAGCGUUGUUCGGAUUUACUGGGCGUAAAGGGCGCGUAGGCGGCCACCGCAAGUCAGUUGUGAAAUCUCUGGGCUUAACCCAGAACGGUCAGCUGGUACUGCGGGGCUAGAGUGCAGAAGGGGCAACUGGAAUUCUCGGUGUAGCGGUGAAAUGCGUAGAUAUCGAGAGGAACACCUGCGGCGAAGGCGGGUUGCUGGGCUGACACUGGCGCUGACAGCGCGAAAGCUAGGGGAGCGAACGGG